UUAAUAUGUGUUAGAAUAUUAUUCUGAAACUGAGGGAGUAUGUUUUUUUUUUUGGAAAUUGAUACUUUUUAAAUCAAGGUAAAUGAAAGUAGUUCACUUGAAAGAGAAAAAAAAAGAAGAAGAAAGUAACUCACUUGAAAUCUUUAUGAGUAACAUGUUGACAUUUAGGUUUUGGACUAUCUUAAAGAAUAAUAAUUAAUAUUCCAAAAUGUGACCUCCUAAAAUAAGAUUUUGUUAAAUUCACGAACGGAAUAAUAUAUGAUAUCCCUUUUCUUUUCUCGAUCUCAGUCGUAUCGUAUAUAAGAGAGACUCCAUGCAUGGAAUAUAUUAAUUUGUUGGCAUUCAAGAAAACUUUAAAAAUGGUUCGAUCCUUUUAUUCAGAUUCUGCAUUACUGCCUUCGUUCCUCCGCGUCGCUCCUUUUACGUUAGCAAACAAAACGGACGUAACUAUCCGUAAGGACCGUAACCCACACUCCAAAACACAUAAGAUGCCUUUGUUUUAAUAUAAUAUUAUAUUGUGACACGUAUCAAGAUCUGUUUGGAUUUAACAAGAAAACAUAUAUAUAUAUAUAUAUUUAAUUGUCAAAUUCGUUACAAGAAAAUAAUUAUCAAACAUAGAGCAUCUUUCUAUAUAUAUUUUUAUUUUUGAGACAUAGCAUCUAUGUUUAGGGUUUAGAUAUGGUUUGCUGAUGUCGUGCUACAAAACAAAAAUGGUAUUAUGAAAUAUAAAUAAACCAAGCUGUGUUGGUUCAAGUGGUAAACGAGUUCCACUCGAACUUCUGUCUAUAUGUUUUAAUUGGAAUAACGCGUAUCCGAAUGUAAGAUUUCAUAGAAUUAGUCUUAAGUAGAUCUCCACAAUUAAUCAAUUAUAUGCUCAUUGAUUAUAUUCCUGAGGUAUGAAAAAACUUAGACUAAUUAAUUUUCAAAGAGAGGUAAAGUCUACAUAUAGAUUUUCUCUGGAUAUUUAAAUAUGCUGAUGUAUUCAUAUCCGCAUGAUCACAUGAUAAAAUGUAGCAGAAUAAUUUCAGACCUAAGUUAUUUUAUAAUCUAAAACUUGCUUAUCUCUGAACCACCGUCGUGUGGUUAAAUAUAUAAUAUAAUUUAGAAUCUCUAGUAUUGGCCUUAUUUGUAAUGAAUUAAACCGAAACCUCACAUAUUCGAUCUGAUUUAUUCUAAUAAACAUGGAAGACAUUUUUUAAUUAUCUAGGUAAUCCAAUAAACAAAAUUAUACUCUAUUAUUCCUAAGAUCAUUGUUACCAUGCAAAAUGUUGGUGGUUUAAUGGUGUUGUAAAUGUUGUUUUUUUUUGUUCAAAAUUUCUUUAAAUAUAAAUGGUCAGAUUAUGAGCUUACAAACUUUCAGUGGUUGACAUAAUACAAUACUAAUCUUCAACAAUACUAGAGCAUCUUUUUCUGUAUGCUUGUGAAAAAAAAGUUUUGUAGAUUACUAGUACCAACAAUUUUUGAUUCGAUUCGUGUUGUUGAGUGCAAAAAGGAAAGCGAUGUGUUAUACUAUUACUUUCGAUCACACGAGGAACAAGAUUUGUCUCUUCGUUUAUAGGAAUUUCAACUAAAACCAAUUCUUUCUUCAAAGAUUCCCUGUUUCAUCUAUAUGCGAUCCAGCUAGCUCACAGUUUUGCUAUCAAUUUCCCCUUCUCAUUUCUUACGUCAUAAACACUUGUUUAAAACUUUUAAAACCAAAAAAGAAAUAAGCACUUGAUUCUUGUAUUUUUUUUUUGUUUAUUACCAAUUAGUUCCUGUAAUGUUUAUCUACUAUCAGUUGGUUCCUUAAUUUUUAUCAGUUACAUCUGCAGCCUUAUAGUUUUGUUUUUACAGAUAUCCACAAUAAAAUUAUAAAUUACAUGUAAAGCCAUAUAUUGUAUUUUAUAUCACUGAAGCUUCUUAUUAGUUUUCAUAUAUCCCACAAGAAGAAUAUUACUGUUACAUAAAAAAUUAGCUUAAAAGGAAAGAGUUUGAAAUUUAUUAGUUGAGUUAAUGGGGCUCACUGAACCUACUAUCAAACUCUUAGGCCUAUAUUUUCAUAGAACCGUCCGAUUGGCAAUGACUUGAGAACGAAGUUAGAUCAUGCACACUCUAACCGCGAAUCGUGGAGAAAGCAUGCCCGUUCGAUUCGUCAUAUUCCCGUUACGGUUUAAAGAUUUGAUGCGAUCGAUUACAUUGUUUGCCAAUUCUGUGAUUCGUUCCUGUAAUGUUUAUCUACUUCAUUGUUUUUGUACAUAGUGGUUUACAUUUGGUUUGUAUAUAUUGGGGUUUAUCACAUAUUUAACUAUUUAGUAUUAUUUUCACUUACUAGUGAUCAAUUAUAUUUGUAUUUUUUUGUUCUACAUUAUAGCCUUUUCUUUCAAUUUGUUGUGUUUAUUGGUGCUUAUUUAAUAUUCAAUUACAAUUUUUUAUGUAUUAGAGAUCAUUAAUCUCAACUUUCAAUUGAUUUUAUGUAGAAUUCAAUUUUUGUACAAUUUGUUUGUUACACUUAUACUGUAUAUAGGCCCAAAUGGGCUUUUAAAAAGCAAGCAGCUGUAAGAACUAGGGUUUCUAAGCUUCCAAAUUGUCGUAGAUUCCAAAUUUUCUAGAUUCGGAACUUUCUACAUGUUCUGAGUAAGCUUUUCUUCCAUUCUCUAUAUUCAAAGAUUUGUUACGUUUUAGUCAUUGUAUCUUCUAAGAUUCGAAAGAUUAGUCAAUCUCUAUAUGCAAUUUUAAGAUUCGUUGAUUUAUAUUUUGGGAAUUAACUCGUUAGCUUUUCCUGAUGACUGUUUUAUUGAUUAACCUAGCUUAUCGCGAUGGUUAAAGUGGAAAAAACAUCCUGAUAGCUUGAAAGAGUUCAGAUCAAUCGUUUUGGCAAAUCAUCUUGAAGUUCUCCUUGUAAGAGAUGGAUUAGCUGAUCUUUCUGGAGCAGCAAUGGUGGUUUCGGAUACUAAGAAUGUGUUUGGAAUUAAUCACCUGCGGGAGCAUAUGUUCUUUAAAGAAUAUAAAAAAUUUCCAGGAUAUAAUUAAGUACCUUGCAAAACUUUUUUUUAUACAUAUUGUUUCAAGAGAUCUAACUGCUUUUAUUUUCUAUGUAGUUUGCGGAAUUCCUCAAUGAGAACGGUGGGGAUAAUAAUGCGUAUACAGAAAUGGAAUAUUCCAUGUUCGCUAUGACUAUUUCCCACAAAAAGUUUAGAAAAGCUCUGCAAAUGUUUUCUCAAUUUUUUCACUGUCCUCUUUUCAACAUGGCUUCCCUUGAAGCCGAGUUAACUGCUAUUGAAAAUGAAUUUGAAUUGAAAAGGCUAAAUGAGCUUAUUCGCCUUGAGCAUCUAAAAGGUCAUACGGCUUUUGAGUCUCAUCUUUUUAACCGUUUUGGACAUGGUAUGUUCUUUUUUUUUUUUUGGUAGGAUGGACAUGGUAUGUUCUUAACCUUUGCUCUCUCCCUCUCUUUUUUUUUCCUCAUUUUUAAUUUGUUUUUUUUUCAUUUUUAGGCAAUAGAAACCCUUUCAAAAACUAUUCGACUGAGGAACUCUGUGGUCUACUUUUUGAGUUAUUCCAUAAAAAAAUUUUGGAGGACAAAUGCACCUUGUCAUUUGUGGUAAAGGUGAACUGUUUUAUUUAUUUUUUGCCUUGUUUUCAGUCUUGAUUUUGUUGACUUAAGCUUGAAGUUAACUUAGGCUACAAGCUAUCCAAAUGAGUUUAGGAAAAGUUACUUAUAUGUUUCCUAAUGAGUUAAGGAAAUUAGAAUCAAUAUAUAAAGAGAUACUAUGAUGUAGUAUAACUUAUGAGUUGAGAACUUUAGUUUUUUGAGGUUAAUUUUCUAAAGCUUUGAGUGAGUAAUAAAGAGAUUUGAGUUUGUGUUUGUUGAGUUACGAUUACAAGUUUGAUUUCAAUAAUUGGUAUCGGAGCUUCAAAUUGAAAUCAAACUCGCGUGAGAGACUAACAACAUGGGAGACUUGACGGUGACCACUACUAAACCGAAGGAGAGUAGUUCUUCGGCGGUUAAGUGUCCGAUGCUUACCUCACUGAUCAGUCUAAUGGUGUUUGUAAUUUCUUUAGUUUGGUGUUUGUGUAUAUUAAUAAGGUCUCAUUACUUUUUUUGAAAUGGAUAUAUUUUAGAGUGUCUAUUGUUGAAAAUUAUUGUAGUAGUUUCCUUGAAUGUUGAAUGUCUAUCUUUUGUAUUGUAAACACUUCAGUGAUUAUUCUAAACACUGUGGUCGUAGUUAUAUUGAAUCUUUAGUGUUUAUGUUGGGAAGUGCUAUGCUCCUAACCCUCGUCGAUAAUUGUAAACAUGUGAAACGAAAACCUUCAUAAUUAUGCAUUUUAUGCUAAUUACGUAUUGUCCAAGUGGAAUCACGCAGAAAUAGUUAGUAAUAUAGCAAAAAAAACUGGAAAUUGUUCUUCUCCUGAUUCAUUCUCAUCUUGGGGUUUGAUAUGUUCUGUUUCUUCUCUGUUGGAAACUAAUGUUGACUACCUGAAAACAUAAAAGCAAAAUCUAUAUACUAAACAAAGAAGAAUACACAAUAAAACCUCUCUAAUACCAAACACCAAAACUAAGAGAGUGAUUGAUAUCGAUCAAUCAGAAGACACUUGCACUUCCAGAGUUAUCGCAGGGCGUUCGAUCUUCAGCUUCUUUCUCUUUCCCCAGCUGUAAGGAAGCCAAAAAAAAAACACACACAAGUUAAUUCAACAGAAUGGAAAAAGCUUGGAACACAAGGUAGGGCUUUUGUUUACAUCUUACCCCAGCUGCAAGGAAGUGUCAGAAAGGUGCUCCUCGUUGUCAUUCUUCUCAGGCUCUACUUGUGGUCCUGAUGAACCUCUCCCCACCAUCGACUCUAUCUGAGGAUUAAAUUAGCUUUGAAUAAGUAAAGAGAUAUUGUUAGUUAGUUGUAAACGUUUAAACGAAAUCUCUUACCUGUUUGCGCAAAAGUCGGUUCUCUUCCAAUGUUCUUUUCUCCUGGUAAAGCAUAAUAAGCAAAUGAAACACAGCUCAUGAUGAUGAUGAUGAUGAUGAUUCAGUGUUAGCCUUGUUCUCUCACCUGUAACUGAGAUGUUUCUAGCUGGUUGAGCAAGAUUGUCUGAAAAAAACUGUGCAAGUCAGAGAUGAUUCUUUCAAUCUUUUUGAAUUAAAAAAACAGUCUGUCUUUACCUUUUGAUCUUUGACACGAAGCAAGCUAUCAUUCAACUGGCUUUCAAGAGAAAUAAGAUCCGAGAAACUCAUACCCUCAAGCUCCUUACCCUUCACUCUCCUGCUCUCAUGAACAAACAUCUCAAGAACACAAGCUUUAACGCAAGUUUAGGUUCAAGGGAGAGCAGGGGCGGUCCUGGAAAAAGUGGGGCUCUAAACAAAUGAAAAAAUGGGGGCCCUUCUAACAUAACUGAAAUUUUAAAAUUCGUGAGCAAGAAUUUUUUUUUUAAGCAAAACAGAAAAAAAAAACUAAUUCUCAAACAAAAAGCUAAGAAAACUGUAAAUGUGGGAAGAGAAAAGAUUUAUUUUAUGUAAGUCCCACUAAAUUCUGUUGUUCGAUUUUAUUAUUAAUACAUAUAAAUAUUUUUUUAA